rnacentral:piRNA from 1 species
UACGUAUGAUUUUGGAAAGACAAUGCCCUUGAAACCCUUUCAACCUCUGAAUAAUAUCUAACGCCUUUCCAAAUGCUUUGACUUUUAUUUUUUCUGACGAGGACAUUUAGGUCGAAACGUCGAGAAAAGUGGCCAAAAGUUAAUUCUAAGAACUCUGAAUGCCGCCGGCCUCUAUCUUCAUGAUUCUGAACCAAAAUAAACUUAUGAAACUACCUGAUCGAUGGUUAUCUGGCAGUGAAACCAUGGCUGGACAGAAUGGGACGAUAGCAUGUCAUAUUUUGAGGACAAUACCGUCCAAAUCAAUUUUAGAGUGGUUUCGAGAUUCCAUCCUUAUUGAGACUUACAACGCCAUCUUCGCGCGGUGAUAUUGCUUGCUCGAGAAGUUCACAAAGUCGUGGUUUAUCAAAUAUUAUGGAAAAUGUAUUUGACUUUGAACAAUAUAUAAUGAUAUAUUUCUUAUACAAUAGUUUAUAGUUUUCAAUAUUUUCAAAGGAAUGAAUACAGUAUACACCAUUUGUAAACAGCCUCUAUAAAUAUAUUUUGUAUAGCGAGAUUGAAAAUGAACGAAAAGCAUACUUCAUUAGAGCAGAUUAAUCCACAGCGUCAAUAAACAUUCUUCUUAAUAAAACCAAAAGUGGAGGAUUGAUAGAGUAAUUCUCUAUAGAUAGUUUAAAAUAAACAACUUCAGUGUGUAUGGAUAUGCAUUGAAGAAUUAGUUUGUCAAAUUGCUAGUCUAUCCCGAUAAAAGUAGUGACGUAUAUAUAAGUAGAGGAAAACUAAUGCCUAGGUGUUUAUAAAAUAUUCGAUGGCAAAAGUAUUCCUUGAUACCCUGAGAUAAUCUAACAGCGUCGGCCGUCUAGUGCUCAUACGUAACUACGCGAAAGUCAAUACUUUAGAAUUGUGGUUUGCAGAAAACCUUAGGAGAGAGAACAAAGUGGGAUUGUUAGAAGCGUUUCUUCUAUCGGGAAUCCGUAUUGUAAUUUCCGCGAAGUUCCAAAGCCCUGAUACGGGGUUCCCAAUACUUCUCAACGAUUAUUCCGAAUUUUUUAUUUUAUUUUUACUCGGCUUGGGAAAUCUAUAUUUCCAUAUAUAUGAAUAACGGUAAUUUUAUGGAAAUUUUAAAAAAAUGGUAUAAGGAUUAAAAGAGGAUACAUAUUUAACAGAGAGAGAAAAAAAAAACAAUGAAAAAGAUAAUAAAAAAUGCCAAAACAUACAAAGUGCACAUAAUUUAACAAGAGAAUAUGUAGGAUAAAUUAAACGUGAAAUAACAAAAAGGGAAACGGCCCUCGGCACAAAAUUGGAGAAGACGCAAUAUACACAGGAUAUCUUCCAUCAAGAUCUGAAAGGGAAAACCACAUUUUGAGAGUAGGUAUCGAAACGAAUGAGGAAAUUAAUAAUUCCGGGGACAUUCCACGACAGGCUUUACUUAAGAGUUAGGAACAUAUAGGAAGAGGAAACAGGUUGUUGAAUAUGUAUUGAAUGUAACGAUUAUAUUUGGCUGUGUUCAAAAUAUAUUCUUCUACACUCAUGGACUUAAGGAAGUUGUACCUUUUAGCAUGUAUAUCGGGAUUCAGACUUCCUUAAGUUUUGUCCACACAUGAGUGUAUAUACAAAUGUGUCUUUUGUCUCCUCUUGUUAUUUAAACGAAACACAAUAAAUACCUCCCACAGUAUGUGUAUAAAGGUUUUAUAUACCUCCCGUUAUAUAAUUCAAUCAAACCUCGGUACACCUCUCACAUUGGAACAAUUACGUCAAAUAUAACUUCCAUAACUUCCAUAUCCAUCAUUAUUGAAACUUCUAUAUUUUUAUAAAAACUUCAGUAAUGUGUGUUUCUUCAUUGGUAUGGCGAGCUUUCUGUCAUUUAUUGUACAGGCAGGCAUACAGUAGUCCACAUAUUGGAACUAUAAGUAGAGCUCAUUAAGUUUUGUGCUGUCUUUGACUCUAUUUUUCAUCUCUCUCCAAUAUCUGUAAAACGUGAAAAUAUACUAUCGUAAUUGUAAUACUUAUAUGCAAAUAUCACUAUAUACAAGUACAUAAACAUCUGAGCGCGCAUGUAUGUACUAAAGUUACCAAUCAACAGAAAUAGAAAUCUAAUUAUUUUGGGGCGAAGAAAAAGCGACUCCUUCACCGAUAUCUUUUCGAAAAGGAAACUUGAAUACCUUAGAAAGAUACGUCUAAAUUAUGAGAAAGCGCUUACUUCAAUAAGAAAGUAUUUUGAUCAUUGUGGUUAACUUUGUGUGUAUGGUUACCAUCACAUGUCCUGUUCGGUUCAAAAGAGAUCAGAUUGUGCAUAAAAUAAACUUUUCUAUUGAAAGCAAAAAAGAGAUUCUAUGGAAUAUAUACGAAAACACCCAAAAUAAAAUAUUUUCAUAUAACAAAAUUCUCUGUUGAUUCGUCUGAUUUUGGUAGGUCCCCAGCACUUCGCCCCGUCGGUUCACUGAGCCUCAGUCUGCUGGGCCGGCGCCGCCUACUCCCAAUGUGAUGAAGUCAGCACCAGCCGCAGUAGCCCCACCGCUACUAAUACCUACCCCGAUGACCCAUGAGCUCCUGCACCCCCUAUAGCUCUCACUCCUGAGGGCGAUGUGGACAUAGAAAAGUUACUCAUCCGAUUGAAGGAUCGAGAAUUCCUGCACUCCAUAUAUAACAAGAAUAAUGUGGUCAGGAUGGAUAUCAUACUCGUGGUCUAUUACGAAGACGAAACGGAGCACCUCCUCGGGCUACUCACGCCUGAAGACAAGAUUCUUCUCGACAAAUUCUUCGACAUUAUCAUCAAACAUGUUCCGAACAUGAACUACCCAAAUGGCAGGGAUCUGUCUAGAUUCAAGGCGGCUUUAAGCUCCUGAUCCGGACGUGCCCUCGGAGAGGGCUACGUCGAUUGUAUAUAUCUCUUUUCAUUCCUACCAUUAUUAUUUCCUUAUAACUCCCUUUGAGUGUAAAGAUUGACGAGAUGUCAAUAAAGUUGUUUAAUUGUCAAAAUUGUCACAUUGAGCACUUUUUCCUGAAUUGAAAAAAAAAAAUUGCUCUAAUAGCCUCUUAUUCUUGCAAAAAUCCAAACCCACCCGUGAGUACAAGUAACCAAACGGGGCUCUGCCACAUUUGUAAGUGCAAAAGUCGAAUCGUUUUCUACGUGUGUAGACGGUAGCUCGACUUUUGAAUUUACCAGAACCCCUUUGGCUACUUGCACUCACUAGUGGAUUUGGACUUUAGCUAGAAUUAGGAUCAUUGAGGCAAUUUUUACCGUUGCUUUUACUGUAUCGUGUAUUACACAUGUCUCUACACAUGUAGAAACAUGUAAACAAUAUACACAUGUAAUCGCCUACUACUAGCCACCAUGAUUAUCAUGGCCUAUACCCCCCGUACUAGAGAUAAUAAUAAAUUGUUGUUGGUCGUUCUAAAUGUUUUCAAGUAAAAACUCAACGAUCAUAGUAUAGAAAAUAAUAUUUGAAUAUCUAAACAUUUUUCCGUUAUAGGUAUGAGACGUAUAAGAUAUAGGUUCAAUACGUUUAUAAAGCACACGUCGUUUUCUUUAGCUUCUCGUCAUCCCCCUCCCUAACUUCCCGUCACUCCUCCCCGGCCGCCUCUGUGGCCUCCCUAAAUGCCCUGGACACCACCCCUGCAGCAGCCCCUCACCGCACUACCGCUUCUGUGGGAAGCCAAACACUCCUUCCUCCCCCCAAGGAGGAGACAAGAUGUAACUGCCUUUAAAAGAACUGUGUGAAAGAACUCUAUAUUUAUCACUCAAUUUAUUUAAAAUAUUUAUCAUUUAUUUUAUUUAUUUCCUAUAUUUUUCCUAUAUUUUUUUUUUCAAAUUAAUAUAUAUUUAAUCAAUCAAUCAAUAAUCAUAUUUAUUCAUAUUUAUGUGUGACAAUUAAAAAUUAUUUAUUGUCUCUCUCACUCUCUCUCUCUCUCUCACUUAAUAAUACUUUUCUAAUAUUGCCUCGUCAUUAAUUUUUAUAAACAAAACAUACUUUGUUUACAAAAUAAAUAUUUUAUAAAGAUUUAAAAUAUAUAUUUAUAUAUAUAUUUGGAAAAUGGAAGAAAAAGUAAAUUCAAAUUAUCCGCAACAAGAAAUCUCGCAAUGCAUUCACGACCGCCGUUGGAGCAUGGCUCUCCAACUGGCCCUGCCAUUGGACUCGGGCGAAACUUCCCACUCCAUCAUCCUGGAAAUGGUGAAUUCAUCAGACCAGAUAAGGGAGACAGUGGCUGAAACCUUGAAGGAUCUGACGCCCAAAGAAUUGGGUACCCUGAUGGAACAGUCAUUCAACUGGUUGGCCAACUUCCCCCUCCAACGCCACCCAGCCAUCUUCAUUUUAUGCCACCUGUCCCAGACCAAGAGCUACCAGGAACUACUACAAAUAUAUCCUGAGUUCGAGGACAAAAGGCCUUUCUUCUUGGCUCAGCUUGAGGAUUUCCAGAGCGAAAUCAACCAGGAUCUUGGAGCCUCCGAGACAUUUUUGGAGAUGACUGUCAUGACAGACAAACUACUUAAACCUUAAUAUUACUAAAAUUGGUUAUUAAAAAUUAUUCUUUAGUUAAUCUCUCUCUCACUCUCUGACUGCUUUUCCAUUGACUAGUGAGAUUGCUAACUUAGC